GCUCCCAUGGCGUAGUGGUCACUGCGCUCGCCUUGCACGCGGGAGACCCGGGUUCGAUUCCCGCCGGGGUCA
rnacentral:tRNA from 1 species